CAUGUGGCACCCUGCUCAGUGAACAUGGCGGGAGACUCUUACUGUAACACUCAGAAGUAGUGUUACCCUUUUUUUCAACUUCAUUUCAGAAGGCGACAGAGUGUACACGAGGAGGCAAUGAAGGUCAUGGCUGAUGUUAAAUGCCAUUUACGAGAACUGGAGACUCAAGUAGCAGGUCUUAAUCCACCCUCAAACCCUGUAAAUCUGGGUAACACAGGGCUCUUGUCCUUGGACCCCUCACCAGAUAAACUACCACUCUACUACCAGCUUCUGGACUGUUAUACUUGGAUGGAGAAGGUACAUUGUUACUCCACCAUAAUGCACUCACUCUUUUAC